GGAAGAGAAAAAAGGGGUAGUUGUGGAUUUCAGCCCAUAACCAAUUAUAGUCACAUUGAGCUCGAUUCAUAGUAGAAGAAGAGAGUGAGAAGAGACACCAUCUUGGUGUGGAGAUUGUUCUAUCAUCUCAGUCGAGUUUCUGAGUUUGAGUAUGAGAUUUCUGGAGUGUUCUUCGAUGCAAUUGUGAGGGAUUGAUCGGCGCGAUGUCUACAGGGAAGUUUGAAACGGAGAAAUUCACCGGAAAAAAUGAUUUCGGCUUGUGGAGGCUGAAGAUGAAAGCUGUGAUGAUGCAGCAUGGUCUUUGGGAGAUCUUGAAGGAUGGGAAAGAUCCGGCAGGGAAAGAUCCGCAGGCUAAAGGGGGGCAGAUGAGAAGGUCGAUCUCAAGACCCGAGAGCUCCAGAAUAAGGCCUAUAGCACUCUGAUACUUGGCCUCAGUGAUCAAGUGUUAAGGGAGGUUUCCAAAGAAGAAACUGCAGCUGCAAUUUGGGCGAAGCUUGAGUCAAUAAAGCCAAAUCUGAGCUAAUAAAGCCAAAUCUGAGCUUCUACAUUCUAGUUGCGUCAACUUUCUGAGGGACGAGAGUGAUGGCAAUACUAAUGCAGAGCAACGCUGGAUAUGUAGGAUUUCCAGAUUUGGGAAUGCUUCUUUACUACUCUCUUGCUCCUUUGAGAGUCCCUUAAGAUUUGGGAGAUCAAUUAAAUAUAGUGAUCUCAAAGCCACAAACUGUAUCUUUAAUGGGUGUCCAUUCCCAACUUCUUCUUCUUCUUCAAUAAUAUACUCCACCUUCACGUUCGUUAAA